AGGUUGCGUACUUUAUUAGAAAAGAACUAGUUUGCACCUAGUAAUAGGGCCUCCACACCCCACAACCUU
rnacentral:tRNA from 1 species